rnacentral:rRNA from 1 species
GACGAACGCUGGCGGCGUGCUUAACACAUGCAAGUCGAACGGACUAUUUCAUUUCGGUGGAAUAGUUAGUGGCGAACGGGUGAGUAAUGCAUCGGAACGUGCCCGGUAGUGGGGGAUAACUGCUCGAAAGAGCAGCUAAUACCGCAUACGACCUGAGGGUGAAAGGGGGGGAUCGCAAGACCUCUCGCUAUUGGAGCGGCCGAUGUCGGAUUAGCUAGUUGGUGGGGUAAGGGCCCACCAAGGCGACGAUCCGUAGCUGGUCUGAGAGGACGACCAGCCACACUGGGACUGAGAAACGGCCCAGACUCCUACGGGAGGCAGCAGUGGGGAAUUUUGGACAAUGGACGCAAGUCUGAUCCAGCCAUGCCGCGUGCGGGAAGAAGGCCUUCGGGUUGUAAACCGCUUUUGUCAGAGAAGAAAUCUUCUGGGUUAAUACCUCGGGAGGAUGACGGUAUCUGAAGAAUAAGCACCGGCUAACUACGUGCCAGCCGCCGCAGUAA